CCCUUAGAUGUUCUGGGCCGCACGCGCGCUACACUGAUGCAUUCAACGAGUCCAACCUUGACCGAGAGGUCCGGGUAAUCUUUGAAACUGCAUCGUGAUGGGGCUAGAUUAUUGCAAUUAUUAAUCUUCAACGAGGAAUGCCUAGUAAGCGUGAUUCAUCAAAUCGCGUUGAUUACGUCCCUGCCCUUUGUACACACCGCCCGUCGCUCCUACCGAUUGAGUGUGUUGGUGAGGAGUUUGGAUUGGCCUCGGAAGGUGGUUCGCCACCGUCCGUAGCUGAGAAGUUCUCCAAACCGCCCCACUUAGAGGAAGGAGAAGUCGUAACA
rnacentral:rRNA from 1 species